GUCUAUGGCCAUACCACCCUGAACGAGCCCAAUGUCUGAUCUCGGAAGCUUAGCAGGGUUGGGCCUGGUUAGUACUUAGAUGGGAGACUACCUAGGAAUACCAGGUGCUGUAGGCA
rnacentral:rRNA from 1 species